GUACUCUCACACUCCCAAUUGCUUUGGAUUGGGAGCGGUGGACUUGGGUGUUGCUGCUUGACUGAGGCUCACCUGAAAUAUGUUAGUGCACCUCUUGAUUGGACAUAGUACGGCGUGAUAAGUGUCUUCGCCGGCUCCUCGCAAAGAGGGUGGCCGAUCGGGAGCUCUGUGCCUCUUAAACUGUCUUCGGACAAUCUCUGACA
rnacentral:misc_RNA from 1 species